ACCCCAUCUCUGCUUAGCAGUCCUUCUUCCAGGAACAGCAUCCCGUGGUCAAGGAAGCCGAAGCCCUCCUGGUGACACCAUCUUCACAGCCAGGCAUUCAUCUCCAGGAUGCCUCUGUCUCUGCCUGGGCCCCUACCCUUGACUGGAAGGACUGAAGAGAACACCACCUGCGCUCCCAACUUCUUCACCCUUACUCCCAGAGCCCUGUAGUCCCUGCAAGGCAGCAGCCCCCAAGGGCCAUCACAUCUGAGGGGGAUCAGUGGAGUUCAGCAGCACUCCAGCCACACCCUUUCCAUCCCACCACACCCCAACAACCCUUCAACCCUGGGGAGACGGGGCUGCAAGGGGGUGACUAGAGCUGGUAGCUUUACACCACCUGAGGAUUCCCUUACGCUGACAGAAUUCCCAGCUGGAUGCCUGCACUGGCUUUCCGGCCCCUCGGCACUGCUGGAGAGGCACAAAGGGACCAGGGUAACAUCAAAGAUCUGGCCAGCUUCAUGCAACAAUAACAAGUUAUAAUGAAGAGGAGGAUUUUCUCAUUCUUUCGUGGCUUCACUGUGAGCUCCUCUCUGCCUGGCUAUGUCGUUUUCUUCAUUGCUCUGCAUAUUCACAAUUUGG